rnacentral:tRNA from 1 species
GUCCUCGUAGCGCAGUGGUUCAGCGCUAGGAGGUCCUUUUUGGAGGACGCAAGUUCGAUUCCUGCCGGGGACA